ensembl:snRNA U2 U2 spliceosomal RNA
UUCGCUUCUCGGCCUUUUGGCUAAGAUCAAGUGUAGUUUCUGUUCUUUAUUUAAGUUAAACUGUAUUCGGCCACCGCGCCAUUGUUUCUUUUGUGUUUAUUGUUUGUUUAUAAAUAAAACCCCUU